rnacentral:tRNA from 1 species
AAAAUAUACCCAAAAGCUUCUAACUUUUAAAAGAGCAUUUAAUU